rnacentral:sRNA from 1 species
GAAGCCGAAGCGCUCGUUGAAGAGGAGGA